rnacentral:rRNA from 8 species
AACCUGCUGCUGGAUCAUUACCCAAGUGA